AGGUAAAUAAUAGUUAUUUAUCCGGAACAUUAAAGGAAAUAAGAGCGCACAGUGGAUGCCUUGGCACUAA
rnacentral:rRNA from 1 species